UAACUCCCCCACCUUUUCUUCCCUGCCUGUCCUUCCUGAACAGUUUGUCUCCAUCCAUGACAAUACUCCAGUCAUGUGAGUUUUCCCACCAAGUCUCUGUUAUUCCAAUCACAUGCAAGGGCUGGUGUCAGCUUGAACCAUGCAACAAAUAUUGAGUUUUGUGGCUGCCACAAUAUUGUAGUGCCCAUGGUACAUGUCCAUGUAAGACCACUUUAGCGGACCCUGAGAUCCCAGUAGAAUGUGGACUUUCGUAUUACAAGUGAUGGACUGUCUCCGGGCCUCUCUGGCCUGGUGGGGGUCUAGGCCCAGUCCUUAAUCAGGAAGGUCUUUCAAACUCCUAACGUUCAAACUGUAGUGACCAUGUAUUCAUCAAAGCUGAGAGACAGAGUCUAUGCCUGCCCAGAAAACUCAAUCUCUGUAGGAAGAAAGUCUAUAUGGUAGUGUUUUGGAGACAGGCAUUAAGGGUUUUCAGAGAUGCCAAAAGGUGAUCCCAAUUCAUAUGGACAAUAUAUGGCUAAACUGUGCCUUAAUGAGACAGUCAUCAUCCUGCCAUUCUCUCCAUGCCUUUAAAACCAAUGAGGGUCGUCUUCUCCUACCUGCUGUUUAAAAGGCUGUGGCAGAUUCCAUUAGGACUCUUCUAAAGGCCAUAGCCCAGAUUUUUGCUUAUUUUCACAUCACUUCCCUUGGCAUCCUUCUCACUAAGAAGACAAUGACUAAAUGACUGAUUGCAUUUGGCUCUGCUGUGACCUGGCUUGAAGUUAAAGGGGCAUAUCAAGACUCAAAGAUGAUUCAGAAAUAGAUGUAUUCGAGGUAGCCCCAUAGGCCUUGUUUCAUAUUCGUACAAAGCACAGUUGCUUGGAUUUGUCCUCUACUAGGAAUUGCACAUGGUCCUCUAUUCCCUUCAGAACUGGAUUGCAAAAUAGGGCAGCCCCAAUUAUCCUGCCCUCUAGCAUCUUUGGGUCUUUCAGCACAUCUGAUGAUCCUGUGCUGUAUGCAACUGCCUGAAUCUGAGGUCACUAGGCAGAAGUUCAGCACUGCUGUUUCAAAUUUGGUGCCUUUGGCAGCAAGGUCAGGGCAAGGAAUGGCGCAAAAUGGUUUGGAAUGGUAGUAGUCCAAACCAAGCCCUGCUAUUCCAUGAAUCUCACUCCCAGCCACCUCCUCUUGGAUCUAAGAGGGAUAUCUUUUUGAGAUGGUGGCUUCUGACUUUUCAUUUUCUACCCAGGCCCCCUGGGUUAACUUGUCUUAUAUAUUUUCUUAGUUAAAUUAAAUAUUGUGGUUGAUUUAUUUUGAGGAGAGUCAGCUUUUCUGCUUAAUCAGGAACAGCCAGAAAGGGUCAACAUUCAGCAGCCAGGGACUGGGUGGGUGCAAGACCAGGGGUUGUGUCUCAUGUUGCUAGCCUCUAAUGCUCUUUUUAGGGACUAGAAGAAAUGAAGAACUGGGCCAUUCCAUCAGUCUCCUACUAGGGAGCUGAGACCUAGAAAUGGGAUUCUUUUAGAAAAGCAGAACUAUAAAGUAAAUCCGCCCCUUCCCCAGGUUGUGAAGGCUCUGCAUAGACCAAUAGAUAGUUGGGAGCCUCAAGGAGGUGUGGACCUGAGCAGAUUCCCCAAGCACUUUAGACAAACUCACUGGUAAGGAUAAAACAUUAAAAUAAGUUUAUUAACUAUAGAAAGAUAGAUUUUAAAUGAGUAUAAGUGUUAGGCACAGAGGUCAAAAUUGGUUACAUAAAUAAAAAUAGAAUCACAGUGUAAAUUCUAACUUUAACAGACUAAGCAAAAUUUGAAUCAAACAGCUUUUCUCACCCCACUGGAUGUUCCAGGCAGUUUACAGUUCUUAAUACACAGUCUGAAUUUCCUUCUCCGCCUGGGACCAAUCUCCCCAGUUCAAAGUCUUUGUUUUCCAAAUGAUCUUCCAGGUGUAGAGAUGGGAGAGGAGAGAGUCCAAGUGGUGAUGUCAUUGACCCUCAUUUAUACUUUCUCUCUGCUAGAAAGAUCCUUGCUGUGACAUAGGUGUUAGGUAGCACCCAUUGUGUAUGUGUCCUCUUGGAGGAGUCUCGGGGAGAGUGGAUUCUUCUUGAUCAAGACAUGUCUGGCAGGUCUUGAUGUAAAUCGUCUUGUCAGUGUUAGUUUCUCCUUUGUUGCCACUGAAAGUCUGGCUGUGGGCAUUUCCCACUUACCAUAUAUUUCAGUAACAAACAUAUAGCAGUACUUCAUAACUUCACAUACAAUGAUAGUACAGACAAUCCAACAGGAUAGUAAUGUUCAACAGAUCAAGACUUUUUAAAUGAUACCUCUCAAGGCGUAUUUUUUACAAAACAUAUGAAUAUGGGGGUGCCAGGGUGCUUUUCUGAGGUACAGAGUGUCACAUCUGGGCCUUACAUUUAAACCUCCCCCCAUCUUCGAGGGAUGCCCUCUGCCAGCCUGGGUUUGUUCAGAUGGGCUGCAUAGAAACCUGCCAUGAAGUUAGGGGAAUGGACUUGAGACACUGGUUCACAGAAUCGCUCUUCUGGGCCAUAGCCCUCCUAAUCUACAAGGUACCCCAGUGGUACCUGUGUUUGAUUUUUCGAGUCCAAUAUCUUGUGGCUCUCAAACUCCUUGGAUCCACACUGGAGGGGGUGGUAGUUGGGCCUGGUGUGUGAAGGGGUUGUCCACGUAGGGUUUUAGCAAGGGUACAUGGAACAUUGAGUGUAUUUUGAGGGAUCUUCGUAAUUGAAGCCGCAGGAUCACUGGUUUGAUUAUCUAUGGCUCAAGGUAUCAGUAAUCCAGUUUAUGACAUGGCCUGUGUUUGUGGAGGUGUUGGGCUGGGAGCCACACUUUUUCCCUGCUGGGGAAUGCCAGGCCUUCCUGGUGUAUCAGUGUAUCGCUUGUAAUCUUCCUUGGUCCUGUUCAGAUAUGCCUUCAGUUCUUCUUGGACCUGGUUGAUCUGGCAUACCCAGUCGGCAGCCACAAGAUUGGUGAAGGUGACAUGUAUGGCAGGGAGAGAUGGGGGUGGAAGCCACAGUUUGCAUAGAACACACAUUGCCUAGAUUUGCUGGCUUGGACUGACCAUCAGUUUAUGGGUGAUAGGCGAUAGAUAUAUAAGCAUGAACCCUGAGCUAACAUAGGGUUUUGCGCCAAAAUCAUAACAAAAACUGUGGACCCCAAUCAGUUGUGACUUGCUCCAUGAGUCCAUGGAGAUGGAUGACCUGAGUCACCAGGAGCUGGGCGGUUUCUUCUGCAGGUGUGCAAUGGGAAUGAAGUGGCCAUUUUUGGCAAUUAGUCAAUCAUGGUAAGGAUUACAAUAUGUCCAUUAGAUACAGGGAGCUCGACUUUAAAGGCUUCCCAGGGUCUGUAUGACACUGUGGAAAAAGAAAGAUGACCUUGCUGCGGCGUGGGCCAAGGGAUGUGCUGGCCGCUGCUUCCUGCAGCCCCCAUUGGCCUGGAACGGCGAACCAUGGCCUUUGGGAGCUGCGAUCGGCCAAACCUGCGGAUGCUGCAGGUAAACAAACCAUCCUGGCCCGCCAGCGGAUUUCCCUGAUGGGCCAUGUGCCAAAUGUUGCCCAUCCCUGCACUAAGGUAUCACCACUGAUGUAUCAACACUGUUGCAAACAUAAUGUAUCAACACUGUUGCACGUUGUGAUAAAUCUCAUACAAAGUAUGCCUUGUAAGGUAACAUUGGAAAUGUUGUAAUCUGUUGAACAAUGUUAUUCUGUUUAUAUGUAUGAAUUAUCAUUGUACAUGAAGUUAUAAAUCUUUGCUGUGUGUUUGUAUCUCAAACAUGUUGUGUUCGUGGGUAACAUCCACAAGACAGAUUUACAUCAAGACCAGCCAGCCAUGGCUGAUGGACCAUUAAGGAGAAUCAACUCUUCCAAUGGACGCCUCCUGAGAACACAUCAAAGAGCAUAUGGACAAUGGAGGCUCAGUGACUCAGCAGGGCACAUUGAUGAUGGGAUCCUUGACUCCAUGUUUGAGACAGUAACUUUUCAUGCACAUGGGCUGAGGAUAUAAAUGGUGAGAUCAUCCCCUAAUCUCUUUAUUGCUCCACAACUCUGGACUAUGAUUUCUAACAAAGGGAAGAUUUGAACAGUGGACUGAGGACCUCCAGUCUUUUGGGUGAUCAAGAGAAAUUUACUGCAAGCUAGCAGAUUUAACAGCACUACUGUUAUCCUGAUCCACAAAUUCUAAGAUCACCUGUAAUGUGAGAUCACCUGAUAUGAUUAAUUUAAUAACUUUCUUCUCUCUUAUAAUAAUAAACUUUUAGUUUAGUUUA